GAUGAACGCUGGCGGCGUGCCUAAUGCAUGCAAGUCGAGCGAACGGACGAGAAGCUUGCUUCUCUGAUGUUAGCGGCGGACGGGUGAGUAACACGUGGAUAACCUACCUAUAAGACUGGGAUAACUUCGGGAAACCGGAGCUAAUACCGGAUAAUAUUUUGAACCGCAUGGUUCAAAAGUGAAAGACGGUCUUGCUGUCACUUAUAGAUGGUUCCGCGCUGCAUUAGCUAGUUGGUAAGGUAACGGCUUACCAAGGCAACGAUGCAUAGCCGACCUGAGAGGGUGAUCGGCCACACUGGAACUGAGACACGGUCCAGACUCCUACGGGAGGCAGCAGUAGGGAAUCUUCCGCAAUGGGCGAAAGCCUGACGGAGCAACGCCGCGUGAGUGAUGAAGGUCUUCGGAUCGUAAAACUCUGUUAUUAGGGAAGAACAUAUGUGUAAGUAACUGUGCACAUCUUGACGGUACCUAAUCAGAAAGCCACGGCUAACUACGUG
rnacentral:rRNA from 1 species